AGACACUGAGAGCUCCAGGGAGGUUAAUGCUGCAAUGUGUGUGGGUUUGGUUGUCCUUUUCCCCUUUCAGGUGUAUCUGACUGCUGAGAAGACCUUCCAGCUUGAGAGCACCCUGAAAGAGCUUGAAGAAGGGGCUCAGCACAGCGGCACGACUGACUCGGAGCUGUCAGAGCUGGAGGAUAAAGUGGCCUCAGCAGCUGCUCGGGUGCAACAGGCAGAGAACGAGGUGAGGACAUGGCUGAGAGCUGCUUUGCCCAGCCAGUGACAGCAAACAAAGCAAACCAGCCCCUGUAUGGUCUUUUUCCUUCCAAAGGUUUCGGACAUCGAAUCUCGGAUCGCGGCUCUGUCAGCUGCAGGGCUGACAGUGAAGUCAGUGGAGAAGGCAAAGAAGAAGGUGAAUGGGCAGGCUGCCUGCCUCCACUCUUCUGGUGCCAGCAGCAGCAGCCCCGGGGAGCCUUCGGAUGACAUUCAACAGGCUGCUCCCUGUCUCUUGCAGGCGAUGCCUGGACUGCAGGGGUUCAGGAGGAAGUUCAACAGUCCCCUUGACAUCCAUGGUAAGGACUGAGGCUCUGCCAUGGGAGCUGGGGAACUGUGGGUGGAUGGGGCUGGGUCUGGGGGGAUGCUCUGACCUCUCUCUCUGCAUCCCCCUGUACUGGGGGAUCUUCCCUGUAUUCAUGGCCUCCUGUUAGGAGAGGAGAAGCCUGUGGUGGACCAUUUAGAAAUGAGGCAGGAACUGUCAGGAUGGGGAUUGGGAUGGUGAUAGGAGAGCAGAGGCCAGGCUGAGUUGGCUCAGUCUUCCAGGAACCAGGACUUUCUAUACAGCCUGGCCUCUGCCACCCCAGAUCCAGGGGGAUUUCACCUGUGGCAUCCCAUUGGCUGUAAGACCUCAAAGCCUCACCUAAGCCCAUCACCUCUUCUGAUAACAAUUUCUUCCUUGCUUGGUCAUCUCUGAGAAGGUAUCCUUGACUCUGUUAUCCAGCUGGCUCAUCCAUUGGUGUUUGGUGGGGGCAAGAGACCCUCACAUCCCACCUAUGGCAAACAGCAGCUUGGAAGUGCUGAAACUUGGCACUACAGCUUGUGUGGUGAGGGGCAGCCACUGGGAGCACUUCAUCCUGACCCAUAUCAAUGAGACCCACGAGGAAAUUAGUUUUCUUUUUCUCUCUUAUCUCACCUCGUAAGCAUAGAGACAGAAAGAGUGGGUCUCUUUCCAGAUAAUGGAAGAUGAAAGGAGGAAAGAUCCUUUAAUGCUGAGGAUGAAU
rnacentral:lncRNA from 14 species